rnacentral:lncRNA from 1 species
UGAUGUAUAUCUCUCUCUUUACUCAGCAACUUCAUCUUAUCUCAUUCCUCUUAAGACAUCAACCCUAAAUAACCAUAGAUCCAACCUAGCCAACCUCAUGUUGAUUUAUAAGGGACGACGCCGGAAGAAUGACUAGGGUUCUGCCAAAAACCCUAGUGGCGGCGACUUCAGUUGCAAGCCGUUCCCAGCCAAGUUCGAAGGCGGCGAUGUCUAGACGAAGAUGAUAACAAGAAUCCGACUACCAUCGUCGCCCCCCUUCAAUGACCAGGUUCAAUAAAUUUGAGGUUCCUUGUUUUCAGGAAGAAAGAUGGGGAUCUUUUAUUUGGGGAAGAAAGUGGUAGCCGUUCGAUUGAUGGUUCCCAUUUAUAUGUAUUUUUCCAAUUUUAGAUUUUGAUCAACAUAUGAACAAAAAAGUUCAAAUUUUUAGAUAAAAUUUGUGAGAUAUUGAUUUCAAGGUCAGAGUAAUGGAGCCUUAGAGUGGUUAAGCAGGUGUGUUGCCUUGGUGAUUUUUUUUCGAUUUUGAAAAGUAAUUCGUUCAGUGUUAUUUUGAAAAGUGGAGUUACUUUUAUUUAAUCCAUGCUUAAUUUUGUUCAAUGAUAUGUAAGAGUUAUCUUUAUGUGCUAAGAGGAUUGCUUUGUCGUGAAGGGGAUAAGGGAGGAAAAUAAAGGUAUGAUUUUAGAGGUUUAAUGGUAUGAUUUGGGGGUUUUCGUUGUCUGCAGAUCUGUGGGAGGAAAUGAAGAAGAGUUUUAAAAUAAAAAAAAUUAACACAUAUCGUCCCUGUUGUUAAGAGUUUUAAAAAGAGGUGAUUUAACAUCAAAAGUUAACUGGGUUGAUGAGAAAGGACAUCGCCUGUAACAGGCUGCAAACAUAAAGGACAUAGAGUGUAAUUUUUAAACUUAAAGGACAGCGCCUGCAGAAACCCUGAAACAUAAAGGACGAAAAGUGCAAUUUUGCCUAAAAAAAUAAGUAUUACACAACCCAUAUUACUUGAUCCAGACAGGGAAUAUUUCUAUUGACAUAAAUGCAUACAUAACCCAUGUUACUUGAUCUAGAUAGUGAAUAUUUCUAUUGACAUAAAUGUAUAUAUCUAUCACUUAAUUACGUUCUAUUAGAAGAGGUUAGACUUUUUUUGUACUUGUGUUGUCUUAUUUCUGUAUAUUUAUUGAUGCUAGUUAUGAUAUAUAUUAUACUUUGCUACAUGAAUUGUUGAUACAACUUCAAGAGUUAACCUGAUAUUUUUUAUUUAUAUGAAUUAUUAUUAUUAUGCGCUGAUGAUUAUAUACAUGUGUAUAUGUAUUGGCGUAACAAACUUUUUGUGUCAAGGUAAAUUACAUUUUAAAUUAGCCAUGUAAAUUUUUUAAUGGGUUAACUUUUUAACAUGUUGAAAUAAAGUGAACCGAUCAAGUGAAAGAAACCUUUUCUAGUACUAUUCAACUUGAUUGGUUUAAAAGUGGAAUAAUUUAUUCAAAAUAUUUGUCUAAGUCUGUGUGU